rnacentral:tRNA from 1 species
GGCCCCAUCGUCUAGUGGUUAGGACAUCACUCUUUCAAGGUGAAGGGACGGGUUCGACUCCCGUUGGGGCCA